rnacentral:rRNA from 1 species
AGUGAGUGGCGAACUGGUGAGUAACACGCGGGAAACCUGCCCAGAAGCGGGGGAUAACACCUGGAAACAGAUGCUAAUACCGCAUAACAACUUGGACCGCAUGGUCCGAGCUUGAAAGAUGGCUUCGGCUAUCACUUUUGGAUGGUCCCGCGGCGUAUUAGCUAGAUGGUGGGGUAACGGCUCACCAUGGCAAUGAUACGUAGCCGACCUGAGAGGGUAAUCGGCCACAUUGGGACUGAGACACGGCCCAAACUCCUACGGGAGGCAGCAGUAGGGAAUCUUCCACAAUGGACGAAAGUCUGAUGGAGCAACGCCGCGUGAGUGAAGAAGGGUUUCGGCUCGUAAAACUCUGUUGUUAAAGAAGAACAUAUCUGAGAGUAACUGUUCAGGUAUUGACGGUAUUUAACCAGAAAGCCACGGCUAACUACGUGCCAGCAGCCGCGGUAAUACGUAGGUGGCAAGCGUUGUCCGGAUUUAUUGGGCGUAAAGCGAGCGCAGGCGGUUUUUUAAGUCUGAUGUGAAAGCCUUCGGCUCAACCGAAGAAGUGCAUCGGAAACUGGGAAACUUGAGUGCAGAAGAGGACAGUGGAACUCCAUGUGUAGCGGUGAAAUGCGUAGAUAUAUGGAAGAACACCAGUGGCGAAGGCGGCUGUCUGGUCUGUAACUGACGCUGAGGCUCGAAAGUAUGGGUAGCAAAACAGGAUUAGAUACCCUGGUAGUCCAUACCGUAAACGAUGAAUGCUAAGUGGUUGGGAGGGGUUUCCGCCCCUUCAGUGCUGCAGCCUAACGCAUUAAGCCAUUCCGCC